rnacentral:lncRNA from 1 species
UAUGUGCGUGAUCUGGGAUCGACCAGGGACUGGAGAAACAAGGGUUCACCCUUGUUCUUGCAAAAACUCAUCAAUUAGCAAGAGAAUUCCAUGAUAAUCAGCUUCAUGUUUUAAAUUCUCGAUCUACUAAGCAUACCUAGUGAAGUGGCGUGAAGGAAGAAGGCUCCAACACUAGGAAGUCAGAAAGCUCACAAGACCGAGUCAAACUAUAUAAUAUUGUUGAAAGCAAAGUUUAGAAUCGUCAUAUACGGAUGGAGAGAAAGAAAUAUGAUAGAUGGAAAUGCUUUAUAUCCGAUUCCUUCUAGUCGAAUCAGGCGACUUGGCAAGUUGGAGCGAGCAUACGUACACUUUAUGACCAUCAAGCGCUUCCGCUAGUUCGUAUCAAUGUUUUGGGUUAAAUGUGCGUUUUGUAUAACUUGUUAGUAGUCGUACUUUUAAACACUUGAUGUUAUGGUUUUUAGUCGUGUCAGGUCGAACGGGAUUGUAGACUUAGUUGUUUUUGAUGAUGGUUAAACAGGGGUAUGCUCGUCAUAUGGACGGGUCAUGCCCAAAUUUUGUUAAAAUCAUGCUUUAAUGAUAUUAAUAUAUUU